GCAAAACGCGAAGAACCUUACCAAGGCUUAAAUGUAGAUUGACAGGUUUAGAGAUAGACUUUUCUUCGGACAAUUUACAAGGUGCUGCAUGGUUGUCGUCAGCUCGUGCCGUGAGGUGUCAGGUUAAGUCCUAUAACGAGCGCAACCCCUAUUGUUAGUUGCCAUCGAGUAAUGUCGGGAACUCUAGCAAGACUGCCGGUGCAAACCGUGAGGAAGGUGGGGAUGACGUCAAAUCAUCACGGCCCUUACGUCUUGGGCUACACACGUGCUACAAUGGCCAGUACAGAAAGCAGCUACCAGGCAACUGGAUGCGAAUCUCAAAAGCUGGUCUCAGUUCGGAUUGGAGUCUGCAACUCGACUCUAUGAAGCUGGAAUCGCUAGUAAUCGGAUAUCAGCCAUGAUCCGGUGAAUACGUUCCCGGGUCUUGUACACACCG
rnacentral:rRNA from 1 species